UGCUUCUUUUCAUUAGGAUUCUCU
rnacentral:siRNA from 1 species